rnacentral:rRNA from 1 species
UACAGAGGGUGCGAGCGUUGUCCGGAAUCACUGGGCGUAAAGGGCGCGUAGGCGGUUCGGUAAGCGCGUGGUGAAAGCUCGGGGCUCAACCCCGAGUCGGCCGUGCGAACUGCUGGACUGGAGCAUGUCAGAGGCAGGCGGAAUUCCGGGUGUAGCGGUGGAAUGCGUAGAGAUCCGGAAGAACACCGGUGGCGAAGGCGGCCUGCUGGGACAUUGCUGACGCUGAGGCGCGACAGCGUGGGGAGCAAACAGG